rnacentral:rRNA from 1 species
CAGUAGCCGCGGUAAUACGAAGGGGGCUAGCGUUGCUCGGAAUGACUGGGCGUAAAGGGCGCGUAGGCGGCUUGCACAGUCAGAUGUGAAAUUCCUGGGCUUAACCUGGGGGCUGCAUUUGAUACGUGUGGGCUAGAGUGUGAAAGAGGGUCGUGGAAUUCCCAGUGUAGAGGUGAAAUUCGUAGAUAUUGGGAAGAACACCGGUGGCGAAGGCGGCGACCUGGUUCAUGACUGACGCUGAGGCGCGAAAGCGUGGGGAGCAAACAGGAUUAGAUACCCCGGUAGUCCCUGUCUCUUAUAA